rnacentral:misc_RNA from 1 species
AUUGUUGUAGGAAACAUUUAGGACAGCAAGACUGAGGCAGUCUGAUAAAGACAUCAAAUCACCUGUUAAGUCAUUAUAUUGUACUUUCAGUGAGACCAGAUUCUGUAACUGUCCGAGCUCCUCAGGAAUUGGUCCUGCAAGCUGAUUUCUUGAGAGAUCGAUCUCCACGAUACUCCUCAGAUUUCCAAAUUCGGACGGAAUGUACCCAAAGAGAAGAUUGUUGCUAAGAUUUAAUUUCAGAAGGUGUUCCAAAUCACCCAUAGAAGGAGGAAUAGGACCAUCGAUCUUGUUACAUGAAAGAUCAA